UACGUAGGGUGCGAGCGUUAAUCGGAAUUACUGGGCGUAAAGCGUGCGCAGGCGGUUCUCCAAGUCCGUUGUGAAAGCCCCGGGCUCAACCUGGGAAUGGCAGUGGAAACUAGGGGACUGGAAUCUGGCAGAGGGGGGUGGAAUGCCGCGUGUAGCAGUGAAAUGCGUAGAGAUGCGGCGGAACACCGAUGGCGAAGGCAGCCCCCUGGGCUGAAAUUGACGCUCAGGCACGAAAGCGUGGGGAGCAAACAGG
rnacentral:rRNA from 1 species